UUUCAUUUUCUGGCCAAUUGAAGAAUUAUGUCUUCUCUCUUCUGCACCCAGAUAUGUGUCUACAUGCUGAAUGGCAGAAACAAAAAAUAUGUCAUACAAUUUUCAUCAAAUCAACAAGUAUAAUCAGUUGAGAGAAUUCGUGUGAAAAAUGCAUCCCCCUACAGAACUCUCUUAUUAGACUUCAGCUCUGGUGACAAUUUGAAAAGCUUGAAGGAUGUAUUUCUUAUUUCACAGCACCCGAGUAAUGACUUUAACACUGGCCUUCAUUGCAGCAAUCUGUUUGUAAGGAUCUGGAACUUACACCUGUGUGCUUUUAAGAACAGCAUCCUUGUGAGUGGGUCUCGAGACAGAACAGGGAAUGCAUGAAAGACACAUUGCCUUCAUCUUGUUGCCAGUAAAGCAGAGAGACAAUAAUAACCUUUCCAGUUAUUGAAUCACCCCAGCUGAUGAAGAAGAGGGAGGGCGGCAUUGCAAGGUUUUAAAGAAGCAGUCCAGCUGCUACAGCAUACAUCAUUACUAAAUGUCACUAAAUGUGCAAAAAUUGAAAUUAAAUAAUAUUUAAUGAUUUAGCAACAACACCUUCUGUUGUACACUAUUAGACAAUUGAAAGCAGCAACAGAUGACCUUACCAAGCAGAAGAUUCUACAUAAUUAAACACUGAGCCUGUUAUUGACAUAAUGAACCAUUGUUUUUGCAUAUGAAGGCAUGCAUAUGAAGAGUUGUUUAGUGUGUCAAAAAGUAGUAAUAAAAUACACAUACAGAAUACAGGUGAGCGCUUUUAAAAUUGUGUUUAGAAUUAUUUAGAAUGUAUGAAACUGUCCAUUGUAAUGGCUCCUGCCCUCCAGUUACAAGAAAAGUGAAAUGUGUGUGCUAGGAUUCAUAAUGAUCUCUUACUCCAAGAGACAGUGGUCAUUUAUUAGUACCUGGAAUGCAGUUCAAUUGAAGUGCGAUAUUAGUUGUUUUCUUCUCUUAUAUUCUACAAAGACAAACCUGUUUCCAAUUUGGGGUUUUGUCUUACUGCCUGUACAAAGAAGGACUGAUAGCUACUAGAACUCAAUUUCACUUACCAAUUGUGUAAUCAAUGUUGGCAUUUCAUCUAUUGGCGAUCUCAAACCAAUCAGAAUUCCUGUUUUAGUCUGGGUGAACUUCGAAGUAUAAUAAGUGUCCAUCCAUCACAGUGCAUUCUUCAGAACUUUAGAACGGUGCGGAGUAUUCUAUUAAUCAAAGAGAAUGCUAAUACAUAAUGUUUAAGUUACCGCGAGUUAUAUAGUUAAUGUUAUCUGUUUAGAGUGACUGUAUUGUAAUGAUAGUUGUGCGGUUACAAUAAUAAUAAAAAGUGUACAUUGUUAUACACUGUUAGUUACAUGUAUAAUUAUCAUGCAAUUAACAUGGCUGAAAAUAGAAUGUUUAAAGGCUUUUUUAAAGUGGUUAUUUAAUAUUAUCGCUACAUUCUCCAGUAAUGUAAAGACAGUGAGGUAUAUAAUAUUCAUAAAACACUGGUGUAAUAGUAGAGUUAUGUGACAUACCGUACCACAUCAUAUACAAAGUGAUUUGUGAAAUGUUAUGAAUAUAUUGCCUUUAACGGAUCAAAUUCAAGUUUUUUUUUUGUCUUGCAGGUGUGGGAUUAGAGGCACUGUAGAUUGAGCCAGACCUUACAAGGUCACACAAAAACUGAAUUUGCUGUAGCUCUGGAUCUGGAAAAGCAGCACAUCUUCUCAGGCUCUGCUGAUAAGGUAUAACGCACACCUAUCAGGUAUGCACAAUGAAAACUCGAGGGAAAUCCGUCAUCUUUUCAAUGGUAGGACAACAAACCCGAGCUCAAUUCAGAAGCAUAGCUCAUUGGAUAUGUUAUCUACGACUGCCGUCCGUUUCCUUGACUUUGCGAAGAAGAAGAUUGCUUUAAGAAAUGAUCAUCCUUCACAUUGAUGAACAUGUUUUGUUACAUUAUUAAAGUGUCUUGUUAUAUUAUUAAAGCACACUCAAUUACUACAAUAUGCAAUAUACUUCCCUGAGUAAAGAUUUAAAAUUCCUUCACCUCAGGCAUAGCUCCUUUUCUUCCCAUAUGCUAUUCAAUUUCAGUAGAGCUGUGCUAAGAUAAAUUAAAAUAAUGUUAAAAAAAUCACAGGGACUGGUUUUGAGGGAGUGAAUUGUCUAUUCUAAGGCAUUUUCAAAUAUUGGUUUUCCUGAAAAAAAGAAAGCCCCUCUCAUGCAUUGUUAAACGGCUUAUUUACUUUUACAGCGCAAGAUGAGAAACAACAAACAGCCUUUACAUUAAUAAUGAGAAGUAAAGUCGAGCUCUUGCUCAUCACAAUAGAAAGUGAUUCGCGACCACUUUGUCGUUUUUGGAUUUCGGAAUGGCAGUGAUGUACUGUUACAAACAAGCAAUCAUCAGUUCCUAGGGAAAAGGGGCCUGCGUUGCAAACAAGAGUAAUCAUUGAAAAGAGUAGCUGUUAAAUUAGCCAUCAUAUGGUUAAAAAUUGCUUAGCACUCCCAGAACACAUGGAAGGUUGCUAUUGUAGGCAGUGGUAACUUGAA